AAAGCAGGCCGCAAUUACAGUGCUUCAUUCUGUGGGAGUACUGCCAUGACCCUGCUGAGAGCAACACUGUGAGGACUGGAUCUCUCCUCUCCACUGGCGAAAUCACUCUCCUUUUCACAGUGACACGU